rnacentral:rRNA from 1 species
GCAGGCCUAACACAUGCAAGUCGAGCGGUAGCACAGAGCGCUUGCUCUCGGGUGACGAGCGGCGGACGGGUGAGUAAUGUCUGGGAAACUGCCUGAUGGAGGGGGAUAACUACUGGAAACGGUAGCUAAUACCGCAUAAUGUCGCAAGACCAAAGUGGGGGACCUUCGGGCCUCAUGCCAUCAGAUGUGCCCAGAUGGGAUUAGCUAGUAGGUGGGGUAACGGCUCACCUAGGCGACGAUCCCUAGCUGGUCUGAGAGGAUGACCAGCCACACUGGAACUGAGACACGGUCCAGACUCCUACGGGAGGCAGCAGUGGGGAAUAUUGCACAAUGGGCGCAAGCCUGAUGCAGCCAUGCCGCGUGUGUGAAGAAGGCCUUCGGGUUGUAAAGCACUUUCAGCGGGGAGGAAGGCGAUAAGGUUAAUAACCUUGGCGAUUGACGUUACCCGCAGAAGAAGCACCGGCUAACUCCGUGCCAGCAGCCGCGGUAAUACGGAGGGUGCAAGCGUUAAUCGGAAUUACUGGGCGUAAAGCGCACGCAGGCGGUCUGUCAAGUCGGAUGUGAAAUCCCCGGGCUCAACCUGGGAACUGCAUUCGAAACUGGCAGGCUAGAGUCUUGUAGAGGGGGGUAGAAUUCCAGGUGUAGCGGUGAAAUGCGUAGAGAUCUGGAGGAAUACCGGUGGCGAAGGCGGCCCCCUGGACAAAGACUGACGCUCAGGUGCGAAAGCGUGGGGAGCAAACAGGAUUAGAUACCCUGGUAGUCCACGCCGUAAACGAUGUCGAUUUGGAGGUUGUGCCCUUGAGGCGUGGCUUCCGGAGCUAACGCGUUAAAUCGACCGCCUGGGGAGUACGGCCGCAAGGUUAAAACUCAAAUGAAUUGACGGGGGCCCGCACAAGCGGUGGAGCAUGUGGUUUAAUUCGAUGCAACGCGAAGAACCUUACCUGGUCUUGACAUCCACAGAACUUUCCAGAGAUGGAUUGGUGCCUUCGGGAACUGUGAGACAGGUGCUGCAUGGCUGUCGUCAGCUCGUGUUGUGAAAUGUUGGGUUAAGUCCCGCAACGAGCGCAACCCUUAUCCUUUGUUGCCAGCGGUUCGGCCGGGAACUCAAAGGAGACUGCCAGUGAUAAACUGGAGGAAGGUGGGGAUGACGUCAAGUCAUCAUGGCCCUUACGACCAGGGCUACACACGUGCUACAAUGGCAUAUACAAAGAGAAGCGACCUCGCGAGAGCAAGCGGACCUCAUAAAGUAUGUCGUAGUCCGGAUUGGAGUCUGCAACUCGACUCCAUGAAGUCGGAAUCGCUAGUAAUCGUAGAUCAGAAUGCUACGGUGAAUACGUUCCCGGGCCUUGUACACACCGCCCGUCACACCAUGGGAGUGGGUUGCAAAAGAAGUAGGUAGCUUAACCUUCGGGAGGGCGCUUACCACUUUGUGAUUCAUGACUGGGG